CUGGGUCACUUCUACGGGUCCUUC
rnacentral:miRNA from 1 species